rnacentral:rRNA from 1 species
GCAGUCGAACGGACUCAUAUUGAAACCUAGUGAUUUAUGAGUUAGUGGCGGACGGGUGAGUAACGCGUGGAAAACCUGCCGUAUACCGGGGGAUAACACUUAGAAAUAGGUGCUAAUACCGCAUAAGCGCACAGCUUCGCAUGAAGCAGUGUGAAAAACUCCGGUGGUAUACGAUGGUUCCGCGUCUGAUUAGCUAGUUGGCGGGGUAACGGCCCACCAAGGCAGCGAUCAGUAGCCGGCCUGAGAGGGUGAACGGCCACAUUGGGACUGAGACACGGCCCAAACUCCUACGGGAGGCAGCAGUGGGGAAUAUUGCACAAUGGGGGAAACCCUGAUGCAGCGACGCCGCGUGAGUGAAGAAGUAUUUCGGUACGUAAAGCUCUAUCAGCAGGGAAGAAAAUGACGGUACCUGACUAAGAAGCCCCGGCUAACUACGUGCCAGCAGCCGCGGUAAUACGUAGGGGGCAAGCGUUAUCCGGAUUUACUGGGUGUAAAGGGAGCGUAGACGGCAGCGCAAGUCUGGAGUGAAAUGCCGGGGCCCAACCCCGGAACUGCUUUGGAAACUGUGCAGCUUGAGUGCGGGAGAGGUAAGUGGAAUUCCUAGUGUAGCGGUGAAAUGCGUAGAUAUUAGGAGGAACACCAGUGGCGAAGGCGGCUUACUGGACCGUAACUGACGUUGAGGCUCGAAAGCGUGGGGAGCAAACAGGAUUAGAUACCCUGGUAGUCCACGCCGUANACGAUGAUUACUANGUGUCGGGGGACCAAGGUCCUCCGGUGCCGGCGCAAACGCAUUAAGUAAUCCACCUGGGGAGUACGUU